rnacentral:tRNA from 1 species
GUUUUGGUAGCUUAAUCCUAAAAGCAUCGGCCUUGUAAGCCGAAAACGGAGGUGAAAUUCCUCCCCAAAACA